UCCAGUGUAGCUGAGCCGGUCAAGCAUGGUGCUUUCAACUCCAGGGUUGUGGGUUUGAUUCCCCCAGGGAG